CUAAGGAGAAAAUGUCUUUCUCUAUUCUAUUGGUAAUGUUCUUCAGCGCAAUGCUGUUGGAGUUACUUCUGAACAUUGGAAACUAUAUAGUAGAACAAACAAGAAAACAAAAUUAACUCUAACAAUUUCUUAGAGUUAGCUGUCAAAAAAAUAG
rnacentral:misc_RNA from 1 species